GCCCAGGUGGCGGAAUUGGCAGACGCGACGGAUUCAAAAUCCGUUUCCGAGAGGAGUGUGGGUUCGACCCCCACCCUGGGUACCA
rnacentral:tRNA from 1 species